AUGUGGGUCCUGGAAACCAAAUCUGGUUCCUCUGGCAGAACAGCAAGUGACUGCUGAGCUCUCUCUCCUGCUCAGAAAAUGUUUCAAGCAAAUCGCUUUAUUUCAAUCGUGAAUGCCAUCCCAACAGAAGACACCACAAACACAGCUACUCUUACUUCUUAUUACAAAGGGGAAGACUAGGCAUGUUUGGGGACCAGUGGGGUGUUUCAGUUGGAACCUGCUAAAGGACAUUAUGAUAAGCUCUGAAGGGAUGUAGGGUGAUGUUGGAAAGGAAUUGGGGUUUGACUGCUGCUUCAGACAGGAUGCUGCUAUCAGGAUGCUGGUGAUUGGCUCUUUUAAUGUAUCCAGCUGGAAGAAAGGAACAGAUAAACUUAAGCUCUGACUGGCCACUCCUGUUCAUCAUGCAAUGUGGGUCAUUUUGUGGUUAGGACAAUACUUUUGUUUAUGUAAUCUGAGGUCAUUCCUUAAUGGCCUUUUGUGUCUGUGAUGUCACAAUUCUAGAGACUUUUCUUGCUAUGACUGUUCUAUGAAACUCUCCGUGUUCAUCAGAAAAACUUUCAACACGUGCCCCCCCAGCUCCUGCAUGCCUGUGCCAAGCUUCCUUUCUUACAACAUAGUCCUUGAAAUGAGCCCAUCUGAAAAGAAGCCCCAAGCUGGCAAGGAUGCCAUGAGGUGAACAGACCUCUCCAACACACAUGUCCAUCUUGAAAUGUGGAGCUGCAUAAAUCCAAAGCAACAAGGCCAAGCAAAUGUGGACUGAGAUGUCAAACACAGAGUCUCUGAAUAUUCUCAGGCACUUUGCUGCAGAAAUGAAUAGAUAAAUCCCUUACUUACACA